rnacentral:sRNA from 1 species
UAACAAGGUUUCCGUAGGUGAACCUGCGGAAGGAUCAUUAACGAAGACUCGCUCUUCUACACCCUGUGAACCGUCGCCCUCGGGCGCUAUACAAACUCUGUCGUCUUAGCAUGUAUUAUCAUAACAAUUAUAACUUUCAGCAACGGAUCUCUUGGCUCUCGCAUCGAUGAAGAACGCAGCGAAAUGCGAUAAGUAAUGUGAAUUGCAGAAUUCAGUGAAUCAUCGAAUCUUUGAACGCACCUUGCGCUCUCUGGUAUUCCGGAGAGCAUGCCUGUUUGAGCGCCUUUAUAACCUGCGGUCUCCGCGACUUGGGUGUUGCCUGCAAAGGCUCGCCCUGAAUGCAUUAGCGAUUGAAGCUCGAACCGACGUUACAAGUUUGCGUUGGCGAAAGCGGAAGUUGCUUCCAAUCGUCCUCGGACAAUUCCAAUGCCAGGCAUCAAAUCAGGUAGGACUACCCGCUGAACUUAAGCAUAUCA